CAUUUUCCAACAUGACUUCGGCAUUCUUCUAAAUUCUGAUUGGUUUUAUGUAAUAACUUGAAGAAUAGUGAGGUAUAAAUUUGCAUUGGGACUUUUGAUGCGUGAACUAAUGCAAAUCCAUAUGUUACAUGUGGUUACAUUUAAACUACCUACCCUUUAACUUUGAGAGAAGAAGAGAAGCUGCAGUCAUCACAUGCACAGGACAAAAGUGGGUUAAGUUAUGUGGUUCAUCAGAAAGUCUGUGGGAUAAACAAAAUGAGAGGAGAGGAUUCCUUGAGUCGACAGGUCUACCUCACCCUCACCCAAAGUGCAGCCAGCCACAGCUUUACAUGGAAAUUGUCACGUUUGUCGUUGGUAAUGGAGGACCAAAACGCAGCAGGGGAGGCAUCCCUCCUCCAUCGCUCCUCCUGACACUGGAGGAAGAAUCGCUGAUGAAGAAAGAACUGAAGAGGAGAACAGGAGAAGAAGAGAAGAUCAACACCUGGACAAAAGUGACAUCAACCAGAGGUCACAAAUCUUGCUGCGCCAUUGAGAGCAUUCUGACUGGUUGCAUCACAGCCUGGUAUGGCAACUGCUCGG
rnacentral:lncRNA from 1 species